rnacentral:lncRNA from 1 species
GGGGUUUAGGGAUGUCUGGCUUAUGUAAAGUGUUUAAAAAUAGAUAAGCUUGGACCUAGAUCCAAUAAAUGCUUAUUCGUAGGAUACCUUAAGGAAACUAAAGGAUACUACUACCUCAUUGAAGUGUUAGAAAAUGUAUCCUAAAGCUAAUUAUUUAGGUUGUAGAUGAUUGUGCUCCAUACAAUAUAUGAAUUAUAAAAAUGAUAAAUAUUAUCUGACA